rnacentral:rRNA from 1 species
UGGGCAACCUGCCCCAGACACAGGGAUAACCCCGGGAAACCGGGGCUAAUACCGGAUACUCCGGUCGAACCGCAUGGCUCGAUCGGGAAAGCUCCGACGGUCUGGGAUGGGCCCGCGGCCUAUCAGCUUGUUGGUGGGGUAAUGGCCCACCAAGGCGACGACGGGUAGCCGGCCUGAGAGGGUGACCGGCCACACUGGGACUGAGACACGGCCCAGACUCCUACGGGAG